rnacentral:rRNA from 1 species
UGGGGAAUAUUGGACAAUGGGGGGAACCCUGAUCCAGCCAUGCCGCGUGUGUGAAGAAGGCCUUAUGGUUGUAAAGCACUUUAAGCGAGGAGGAGGGUACUGGUAUUAAUACUACCAGCUACUGGACGUUACUCGCAGAAUAAGCACCGGCUAACUCUGUGCCAGCAGCCGCGGUAAUACAGAGGGUGCGAGCGUUAAUCGGAUCUACUGGGCGUAAAGCGUGCGUAGGCGGCUGAUUAAGUCGGAUGUGAAAUCCCUGAGCUUAACUUAGGAAGUGCAUUCGAUACUGGUCAGCUAGAGUAUGGGAGAGGAUGGUAGAAUUCCAGGUGUAGCGGUGAAAUGCGUAGAGAUCUGGAGGAAUACCGAUGGCGAAGGCAGCCAUCUGGCCUAAUACUGACGCUGAGGUACGAAAGCAUGGGGAGCAAACAGG